AAGGUCAGAUGUCCCUGGGCCCCCAUGCCCUGUUGUCUAUGGACUGGACAUGAUGGGACAGGAACAGGGCCUCGGGGACAACAGUGGAUCAGAGCUGACCCUUCCCCUCCUGGUACACUCCUGGGAUGUCACCUAGGAAGCACAGAAGAGAUCCAGCAGACACUGACCACACGCUUGCACGUGCAGACGGGCGUGACGCCCUCUUCUUCUUGCACUCACCCCCGCCCCCCGGGAAGCCGGUGCUGCCGCCCCAUUCUACAGGCUCUGGGCCCCAUCUCCCGACUCAAGCCACCUCGCCAUCACAGACCCCAGGCAGGAGCAGAACCUUCAGGAAGGCUCGAGUGACCCUCCACGGCUGAGAGCCCCACUGCCCGACGAUGUCCGGGCGCGUCCCGCUGGCCUGUCCAUGGCAGGACCCAUGUAACCUGCCCAAAGCAACACGGCUAGUUAAAAGUUUUAUUGAUUGAACACAAUUGCAUGUAAGUGGUAACAGUUCUCCUGAUGUAACCCACUUUUUCUUAAUGGGUAAUCUCAGACACUUGAGUUUGUAUGUUAAAGGAGCUUUAGGACAAUUUAAUAGCUCAUAAAAUUUUAUA